CCUACGGGCGGCAGCAGUGGGGAAUAUUGGACAAUGGGGGGAACCCUGAUCCAGCCAUGCCGCGGGUGUGAAGAAGGCCCUCGGGUUGUAAAGCACUUUCAGUGAGGAAGAACGCCUGGUGGUUAAUACCCAUCAGGAAAGACAUCACUCACAGAAGAAGCACCGGCUAACUCCGUGCCAGCAGCCGCGGUAAUACGGAGGGUGCGAGCGUUAAUCGGAAUUACUGGGCGUAAAGCGCGCGUAGGUGGCUUGAUAAGCCGGUUGUGAAAGCCCCGGGCUCAACCUGGGAACGGCAUCCGGAACUGUCAAGCUAGAGUGCAGGAGAGGAAGGUAGAAUUCCCGGUGUAGCGGUGAAAUGCGUAGAGAUCGGGAGGAAUACCAGUGGCGAAGGCGGCCUUCUGGACUGACACUGACACUGAGGUGCGAAAGCGUGGGUAGCAAACAGGAUUAGAUACCCGUGUAGUC
rnacentral:rRNA from 1 species